rnacentral:rRNA from 1 species
UACAGAGGGUGCGAGCGUUGUCCGGAAUCACUGGGCGUAAAGGGCGCGUAGGUGGCCCGACAAGUCGCUGGUGAAAGCUCGACGCUCAACGUCGAGUCGGCCAGUGAUACUGUUGGGCUGGAGCACUGUAGAGGCUCAUGGAAUUCCGGGUGUAGCGGUGGAAUGCGUAGAGAUCCGGAAGAACACCGGUGGCGAAGGCGGCUCACUGGCUCGUAUCUGACGCUCAGGCGCGACAGCGUGGGGGAUCAAACAGG